AGAGCGAACGCUGGCGGCAGGCCUAAUACAUGCAAGUCGAACGGAUCCUUCGGGAUUAGUGGCGGACGGGUGAGUAACACGUGGGAACGUACCCUUUGGUUCGGAACAACUCAGGGAAACUUGAGCUAAUACCGAAUGUGCCCUUCGGGGAAAAGAUUUAUCGCCAUUGGAGCGGCUCGCGUCUGAUUAGCUAGUUGGUAGGGUAAAGGCCUACCAAGGCUACGAUCAGUAGCUGGUCUGAGAGGAUGAUCAGCCACACUGGGACUGAGACACGGCCCAGACUCCUACGGGAGGCAGCAGUAGGGAAUCUUGCGCAAUGGGCGAAAGCCUGACGCAGCCAUGCCGCGUGAAUGAUGAAGGUCUUAGGAUUGUAAAAUUCUUUCAGCGGGGACGAUAAUGACGGUACCCGCAGAAGAACGCCCGGCUAACUUCGUGCCAGCAGCCGC
rnacentral:rRNA from 1 species